ACCAGGCUGGUUGAGCCAGGGUGAGGUCCAGUGAUGAAAGCUUUAGGAGAGAAAUCUCUUCCCUGGAGUAUUACAGCUCAGUAAGUCAAACACACUCAGACAUUCUUUGGUGA
ensembl:miRNA predicted gene, 27784